GACGAACGCUGGCGGCGUGCCUAAUACAUGCAAGUUGAGCGCUGAAGGUUGGUACUUGUACCAACUGGAUGAGCAGCGAACGGGUGAGUAACGCGUGGGGAAUCUGCCUUUGAGCGGGGGACAACAUUUGGAAACGAAUGCUAAUACCGCAUAAAAACUUUAAACACAAGUUUUAAGUUUGAAAGAUGCAAUUGCAUCACUCAAAGAUGAUCCCGCGUUGUAUUAGCUAGUUGGUGAGGUAAAGGCUCACCAAGGCGAUGAUACAUAGCCGACCUGAGAGGGUGAUCGGCCACAUUGGGACUGAGACACGGCCCAAACUCCUACGGGAGGCAGCAGUAGGGAAUCUUCGGCAAUGGACGAAAGUCUGACCGAGCAACGCCGCGUGAGUGAAGAAGGGUUUCGGAUCGUAAAACCCUGUUGGUAGAGAAGAACGUUGGUGAGAGUGGAAAGCUCAUCAAGUGACGGUAACUACCCAGAAAGGGACGGCUAACUACGUG
rnacentral:rRNA from 1 species